AGGAAGUAAAAGUCUCCUUCCCCAAGACCAUGGCGUCACUGAGAUGUAGCACCGUCGUCUGCGUGAUCUGCUUGGAGAAGCCCAAAUACCGCUGUCCGGCCUGCCGCGUGCCCUACUGCUCUGUAGCCUGCUUCCGGAAGCACAAAGAACAGUGCAACCCUGAAGCUCGUCCUGUUGAGAAAAAAAUAAGAUCAGCUCUUCCUACCAAAACCAUAAAGCCUUUGGAAAACAAAGAUGAUGAUGACUCUAUAGCUGAUUUUCUCAAUAGUGAUGAGGAAGAAGACAGAGUUUCUUUGCAGAAUUUAAAGAAUUUAAGGGAAUCUGCAACAUUAAGAAGCUUAUUGCUCAAUCCACACCUCAGGCAGUUGAUGGUCAACCUCGAUCAGGGGGAAGACAAAGCAAAGCUCAUGAGAGCCUACAUGCAAGAGCCCUUGUUUGUGGAGUUUGCAGACUGCUGUUUAGGAAUUGUGGAGCCAUCCCAGAAUGAGGAUUCUUAAGAUGGAUUAUUGUGCUGCUUGCUCAAAUGUGUGCUUGACUCCCAGAACCUGCCUGCUCCCUCUCCCAGGAGACCAGCUAGUGUGGGGGGCCCCAGGCAGAAGAGGUUUCCAGGAUGCAGACUAGGUUAUACAGGCCUUUACCGGCAUUGAUGUGGCUCAUGUUUCAGGCAGACGUGGGGCCCUUAAGGUGGCAAGUCCUUUAUGGAGAAAAAACUUGACAUUCAGAUGGUUGUUUUUAAAUGUUCUACUUUUGGUACAGUUGAUAGACAUCAUAAAUGAUAUCAAGCUUUACACUUCAUAUGGAGUUAAACUUGGUCAGUGUUACUAAAUAAAAUCAGGAUGUGAUUCUACUGUACAUUGCAUUAUUCAUAAUUGUUUGAAAUUACAUUAAAUAAAUCAACUUAUUAAAUA